rnacentral:rRNA from 1 species
GACGAACGCUGGCGGCGUGCUUAACACAUGCAAGUCGAACGCGCCUGUCCUCUGGGUUUCUGGGGGGUGGGUGAGUGGCGAACGGGUGAGUAACACGUGAGUAACCUGCCCCCUUCUUCGGGAUAACGGUCUGAAAGGGCUGCUAAUACCGGGUAUUCACUGGUCUCCGCAUGGGGUCUGGUGGAAAGGUUUUUUUCUGGUGGGGGAUGGGCUCGCGGCCUAUCAGCUUGUUGGUGGGGUGAUGGCCCACCAAGGCUUUGACGGGUAGCCGGCCUGAGAGGGUGACCGGUCACAUUGGGACUGAGAUACGGCCCAGACUCCUACGGGAGGCAGCAGUGGGGAAUAUUGCACAAUGGGCGCAAGCCUGAUGCAGCGACGCCGCGUGAGGGAUGGAGGCCUUCGGGUUGUGGACCUCUUUCGCCCGUGGUCAAGCCGCGACGUGGGUCGUGGUGAGGGUAGUGGGUAAAGAAGCGCCGGCUAACUACGUG